rnacentral:tRNA from 2 species
AUCUUUCUAGUACAAACAAUAUAAGUGACUUCCAAUCACCCGAUCUUGGUUAAACUCCAAGGAAAGAUA